GAAAUCGUGCUGACUCAUUAUCUGUAACUGACGGUUUAGGAGGGCAACGCUGUGGGAUCACAGCCAGUUUUUUCAUUUUUUCAAAAACGGAGUUGGGGGUCAACUUCACAAUCAGCGGCAGGUAAAAGAUUUGCUUACUAGCGCCUGAGUGCUUGAAACACUAACACUUUGCUCGUUUUUAUGAGGCUGGUGAACUCUCCACACCCUCCACGAAGGGAAAGUGAAACCUGGGUCUGGGGUCUGCAGAACCUGGAUAUAUAUUGCAGACUCCAUUUCGCGAUCGAAGAGACGACCGGAGAAGAGGUCCGGAGAAUACCGCUGCACGGUGAAUUGUGAGCUGCUAAAUUGGACUCAGCGGGCCUAGUGGUGCGGGGUACGACUGAAAGAAGGACAGUCAUAAACCAGGAGGCUGUAAAAAUGGCUUUAAGACAUGCUCUGGAAGUCUAUGACAGCGACAGUGACAGCGACAGCGAGGACGAAGAUGCCAGGCGAAGGAGGAGGAGGAGGAGGAGGAGGAGGAUGAUGAUGACGCUGAUGUCAGAAGUGAGGCGGUCCCAUUGCAUUCAGGGUGCGUUGGAGAUUGGGCCGGUUGGGAUACAGGGCCGGGCUGGCCUGGUCUCCUCGACCCGGAGCUACCGAACAGCCGAUUCGUUUGAAGUGGAGAGCCGGUCAGUUUUGGGUGUGAGCGCCGGGGCCGGUAUCGACGGGCUCGGACGGGUCGGUGCAUCCGCCAGCGUCGGCGUGUCCGCCAGAGUAGGGUCUGACGGAAGGGCAAACGUGUCGGUCAACGUGGGGGCAAGCGCAGGGCUCAGUGCGGGAGGGCUUGAUAUGGGGAUUGGCGUGGGGGCAAAUUUGGGUGUGAGUGUGGGACCUGGAGGAGUGGAAGUGGAGGCGGGUGCGGGGAUGAACUUCGGGGGGGUGGAGUUAGGAGUGCGGGCCGGCAUCGGGUCCAACGGGCCCAGUUUGGGGCUUGAUGUAGGAGUGGGAUCUAGGAAGAUGAAUAUAUUGGGCUUCUAGUAGUUCGGACGAACGCAUGUACUUUUCGGGGCAAAAGGGAGGAGCCUCUGCCGCUGGGAGCCAGCAGCGGCUUCCCUAUUGGUUAACCGAACUGUCUGUCUCAGUGUGCCGGUUCUCACCCCCCCCCCCCCCCCCCGACACUCCCUCUGUUCCGUGCUGCAAUCUAAGUCCCGACUGAAACACACCAGCGGCAUGGACAAAGCUCUCGAGCUAACCCAAAUUAUCUGAUAAAAACAGAAUUAUGGACAAAUUCGAAGAAGAUUUUAAUGUAAUGUAAUGUAAUGUAAUGUAAUUCUGUUAUGUCACAGACUUUCCAAAUACAUGGCGUGACUUUGUUGAAGGACCUUCAGCGCGUAUGUUUGGAUACGCUGUUAUCGAACAGAGAUGUACUCGCUUGCUUGCCUACAGGAUUUGGCAAAAGUUUAAUUUUUCAAGUGUGGCCUACAGUGUGCAAUCUGCUAUCAAAUAAAAUACCCAGAAAAAUGGCCAGAAGAAGCAAUGGUUUUGAUUGUUUGCCCGUUACAAUCAAUAAUGGAAGUGGAAUUGUUGAACCAAAAAGGAAUUAAAUAAAUUAAUUUAUCACCGAUAAAUAAA